UAGGAAGAUGGCGUGGUAAGCCUGUGA
rnacentral:piRNA from 1 species